GGAAUUUUGGACAAUGGGCGCAAGCCUGAUCCAGCAAUGCCGCGUGAGUGAAGAAGGCCUUCGGGUUGUAAAGCUCUUUUGUCAGGGAAGAAACGGGUUUUUCUAAUACAGAGACCUAAUGACGGUACCUGAAGAAUAAGCACCGGCUAACUACGUGCCAGCAGCCGCGGUAAUACGUAGGGUGCAAGCGUUAAUCGGAAUUACUGGGCGUAAAGCGUGCGCAGGCGGUUUUGUAAGUCUGUUGUGAAAUCCCCGGGCUCAACCUGGGAAUGGCAAUGGAGACUGCAAGGCUAGAGUUUGGCAGAGGGGGGUAGAAUUCCACGUGUAGCAGUGAAAUGCGUAGAUAUGUGGAGGAACACCGAUGGCGAAGGCAGCCCCCUGGGUCAAAACUGACGCUCAUGCACGAAAGCGUGGGGAGCAAACAGGAUUAGAUACCCCUG
rnacentral:rRNA from 1 species